CCUACGGGGGGCAGCAGUGGGGAAUAUUGCACAAUGGGCGCAAGCCUGAUGCAGCCAUGCCGCGUGUGUGAAGAAGGCCUUCGGGUUGUAAAGCACUUUCAGCGGGGAGGAAGGCGGUGAGGUUAAUAACCUCAUCGAUUGACGUUACCCGCAGAAGAAGCACCGGCUAACUCCGUGCCAGCAGCCGCGGUAAUACGGAGGGUGCAAGCGUUAAUCGGAGUUACUGGGCGUAAAGCGCACGCAGGCGGUCUGUCAAGUCGGAUGUGAAAUCCCCGGGCUCAACCUGGGAACUGCAUUCGAAACUGGCAGGCUAGAGUCUUGUAGAGGGGGGUAGAAUUCCGGUGUAGCGGUGAAAUGCGUAGAGAUCUGGAGGAAUACCGGUGGCGAAGGCGGCCCCCUGGACAAAGACUGACGCUCAGGUGCGAAAGCGUGGGGAGCAAACAGGAUUAGAUACCCCAGUAGUC
rnacentral:rRNA from 1 species